AGAGUUUGAUCCUGGCUCAGGAUGAACGCUAGCUACAGGCUUAACACAUGCAAGUCGAGGGGAAACGACAUUGAAAGCUUGCUUUUGAUGGGCGUCGACCGGCGCACGGGUGCGUAACGCGUAUCGAACCUGCCCUUUACUCAGGGAUAGCCUUGCGAAAGUAAGAUUAAUACCUGAUAGUGUUGUGAUGAGGCAUCUUGUUGCAACUAAAGAUUUAUUGGUAAAGGAUGGCGAUGCGUCUGAUUAGGUAGUAGGCGGGGUAAUGGCCCACCUAGCCUUCGAUCAGUAGGGGUUCUGAGAGGAAGGUCCCCCACAUUGGAACUGAGACACGGUCCAAACUCCUACGGGAGGCAGCAGUGAGGAAUAUUGGUCAAUGUCUUGAGUGCACGCAGGGAUGUUGGAAUUCAUGGUGUAGCGGUGAAAUGCUUAGAUAUCAUGAAGAACUCCGAUCGCGAAGGCAUAUGUCCGGAGUGCAACUGACGCUGAGGCUCGAAAGUGCGGGUAUCGAACAGGAUUAGAUACCCUGGUAGUCCGCACAGUAAACGAUGAAUACUCGCAGUGUGCGAUAUAAUGUAUGCUGCCAAGUGAAAACGUUAAGUAUUCCACCUGGGGAGUACGCCGGCAACGGUGAAACUCAAAGGAAUUGACGGGGGCCCGCACAAGCGGAGGAACAUGUGGUUUAAUUCGAUGAUACAUAACGAGCGCAACCCUUCUCCACGUUUGCCAUCAGUUUAAGCUGGGCACUCCGUGGAUACUGCCAUCGUAAGAUGUGAGGAAGGUGGGGAUGACGUCAAAUCAGCACGGCCCUUACGUCCGGGGCUACACACGUGUUACAAUGGCCGGUACAGAGGGAAGCCACCAGGCGACUGGGCGCUGAUCCAUCAAAACCGGUCUCAGUUCGGACUGGAGUCUGCAACCCGACUCCACGAAGCUGGAUUCGCUAGUAAUCGCGCAUCAGCCAUGGCGCGGUGAAUACGUUCCCGGGCCUUGUACACACCGCCCGUCAAGCCAUGAAAGCCGGG
rnacentral:rRNA from 1 species